ensembl:snRNA U6 U6 spliceosomal RNA
GUGCUUGCUUUAGCAACACAUAUUAAAAUUGGAAUGAUGCAGAGAUUAGCAUGGCCCUGCUCAAGGAGGACACACAAAUUUGUGAAGUGCUAAAACAAAUA